ensembl:snoRNA
UUCCAAAGUGUUGAGUUCAGUUCAGGGCAUAUUCCCUGCUCUGGUAAUUAAACUUUGGAAAAUGGAAAGUGGCUAGAGAAAAUGAUUGGAUAGAAAAUGUUAUUCUAUUCAUUUAUCUCUAGCCUACAAAU